GAUGAAGAACGUAGCGAAAUGCGAUAAGUAAUGUGAAUUGCAGAAUUCAGUGAAUCAUCGAAUCUUUGAACGCACAUUGCGCCCCCUGGUAUUCCGGGGGGCAUGCCUGUUCGAGCGUCAUUUCACCACUCAAGCCUCGCUUGGUAUUGGGCAACGCGGUCCGCCGCGUGCCUCAAAUCGUCCGGCUGGGUCUUCUGUCCCCUAAGCGUUGUGGAAACUAUUCGCUAAAGGGUGUUCGGGAGGCUACGCCGUAAAACAACCCCAUUUCUAAGGUUGACCUCGGAUCAGGUAGGGAUACCCGCUGAACUUAAGCGUAUCAAUAAGCGGAGGA
rnacentral:misc_RNA from 1 species